GUCUGUGGCCAUAACACCCUGAAAGCACCCGAUCUUGUCUGAUCUCGGAAGCUAAGCAGGGUCGGGCCUGGUUAGUACUUGGAUAGGAGAAUGUAAUUUUAAUUGAGAUUAGGAAAUAGUGGAUC
ensembl:rRNA 5S_rRNA 5S ribosomal RNA